CCGAGGGAGAGAGGGCGGUGUCCAGAGGUGGGCCCCCUUCAGCUCAGAGAGAAAAGGGGGAGGGGUGAUUGUGAACACGCUCCCUUCCUCCUGAGAAUAGAUUGUAAAUUGGGAAUGUAGCCGCUGCAGUGCACACUCGCCAAAACUAGGCAACUGGGGUGCACACUUAAGGAACCUAGGAGCAUAGGGUUUGUGCUUUGCGAGUCCAGGGCCCUAGAGUGUACACUUGCACGCCUUGUUUUUCCUAUUCGCCUUGUCAGAUGGGUGGGGCUAUCUCCACCCUUCCUCCAUAAGGUCAAACACAAAUGGCAAAUUCCAACUACUUUUGCUCCACAGUGUUAUUGCACUGAGGUGCAGCAUGUUGCUGCAAAGCUUAGUUUUGUAUAAGAAUGAUGGAAAUCACUGAAUCGAUUGUUUCAGUAAAGUCAUCCAAAUAUGGGAAAUAGAACUUUUGUAAAAUCUCUGGUUGUCUUUUUUUUUUUUUUUUUUUACACUGAUAUGAAAAGCGGAGUGACUGGAUAUUCCCACGCCAGGUUAUUACUAACAGACCCUCGUGUGAGACACUCGGAACCUCUGUGCUCGGCAUUCGACCCACCAUUUUCAAAGGAGACGUUCACGGCGAGACGCGUGGAGCCCACCGCCAGUGAGAUGCACGCCAGUGUCAUGGUCACGUCUGAAACAGCAGGCUGACCUGCCUGUCAGUGUAAAGCCAGACAACAGGACACAGGGACAGUUUGGAUAUUU